GAAAGAGUAGCCUGUACUCCUUUCUGUUGCUUCUUGUCAACCACUUCCACUUCCACACAACCCAGUUUGGGUUUAUUUUUCUAUCACUGACCAGAAACGGCUCCCAACAAACGUAACCAGAGAGGUCUCAGUACCAUCAGGUUCCCAGGAUUAUCUGCUGCGUUGCUCAGCCAUCCUUAGCUGAUGCUCCAGAGCCCAGGACAGCUACUUAUGCUCCAAUUCAUUGCUGUGGCAGCAGGAAAAAGAAAACUACAAGGAAAGGGAUAUCUCUUCUCUUGAAGGACAGCUCACAGUGAAGGACCCUGAGAGGGCAGAGCCAUGUGAUGGAAUGAGCCAUGAUCCCUGAGUCCUCACCUCAGGGAGAGAUGUGCAGAAGAGCCACCCAAGUGGUGAUGUGCUGGUAAACAUUUAGUGACCCAUUUGAGGUGUGGGGGGAGGCUCUAACUGGUAACAUUUGUUAAUUUCUGUAAUGCAUACUCCUACUAAGGCUGCUUUUAGGCAACCAACGUGAUGUCACUGAACACAGUUUGGAAUGGAUGCACAUAAUCAGUUCUCAUGAUCCAGGAUGAACCAGCCCUAGCAUACCACUGCCCCUAACCCACAUAUAACUGUGUCAUCAUUUAAAAAUAAACAUAUUGGGUUAAGCCUUUGAGAUUU
rnacentral:lncRNA from 1 species